CAGAAAGCCAAUCACUGAGACAAUGAGUAAUGCCAGGGAAAAAGGCUUUAUUAUGGGUGACAUCAGCCAAAGAGAUGAACACCAUGAAGUCAUCUUCUACUUACUCACAAUUGGAUUAUAAACUGUGUGAGGGCAGAGCCUAAGACUAACUCAUGUCUGCGUUCUAAGAUACUGGAGCAGUGUCUGGCUCAUAAAGGACAUCAAUGGGUGUCCUAAAUACAUGUCAAUUGCUUGAAUUGAAUGACAGGGCAGAUUGGCUAUGGGGCAGGUCUCAGAGUGUGUAGGUUUAUUCCUAGAGCAUAUGGGCCCGGAACUUUCUUCAGGAAAGAAGGUCUGGGAAGUAUGUGUGCAGUGACAUUUCUUGUGUUCCUCCCUAACUUGAAAAUCCCCCUCUUCUGACAACAGUGAGGCUCUAGGACCCUGUCCUUACACUUAGUGGACCCAAGCAUGGAGCAUGUGACCCUGGCCAGAGCCAAUCAGAAUAUCCCUGGCCAGUGGUUCAGGAGUGGGCACAUAAGCUAAGUCAGCCCAGCAAGAAUGAAUCUUAGGACUUCUUCAAAAAUUACUGGAAAAGACACUUGCUCUUUCCUGCUGAACUUGAAUAGAAAGCUGGAGUCACUGGAGCUCUCAUGCCACUAUAGGGACCAUCGGAAUGAAGCCAACACACCAAGGAAAGCCAGAAUGCUGAAAGACACUAGUUACUGCUGAAAUAGCUUGAAGCAAGUAACCAGUUUUACCCUUGGACUUUUCCUAUUCCUAGGUAUAAGUCCAACUAGUAGAGCCACGUCUCUAGGAAGGUCAGCAAGACAGGAGCCUUUUUUAUUGUUAUUCUUUAGCAUUAAAUAAAGGCUGGAGAUUGGACAUUUCAA